CUUCCCCAUUGCAAUGGCUCUCUCGCAUAAAAAUUAGCAUUCCAGGACGGCACAAAACUGCUGAACAGCAAAUCAACAUUCGCAUUUUUGCCCCAC